GUGGGGAAUAUUGGACAAUGGGCGCAAGCCUGAUCCAGCCAUGCCGCGUGAGUGAUGAAGGUCUUAGGAUUGUAAAGCUCUUUCACCGGUGAAGAUAAUGACGGUAACCGGAGAAGAAGCCCCGGCUAACUUCGUGCCAGCAGCCGCGGUAAUACGAAGGGGGCUAGCGUUGUUCGGAAUUACUGGGCGUAAAGCGCAUGUAGGCGGAUAUUUAAGUCAGGGGUGAAAUCCCGCAGCUCAACUGCGGAACUGCCUUUGAUACUGGGUAUCCUGAGUAUGGAAGAGGUGAGUGGAAUUCCGAGUGUAGAGGUGAAAUUCGUAGAUAUUCGGAGGAACACCAGUGGCGAAGGCGGCUCACUGGUCCAUUACUGACGCUGAGGUGCGAAAGCGUGGGGAGCAAACAGGAUUAGAUACCCGGGUAGUCC
rnacentral:rRNA from 1 species